rnacentral:rRNA from 1 species
CAGCUCCAAUAGCGUAUAUUAAAGUUGUUGCAGUUAAAAAGCUCGUAGUUGGAUCUAGGGACGCGCAUUUCAAGCGCCCGUGUCGUUGGGUCAAACCAGCGACUGCGUUGGCGUUGCGGGCUCGGUCCGUCGGUGCCACAAAGCAUCGGCGUGUCAACCGGCCCGCCCGUCCCCUCCUUCUGGAUUCCCGUUCCUGCUAUUGAGUUAGUGGGGACGUCACAGGGGGCCCAUGCAAACGGCGGCGGUGGGUCCCUGGGGCCCAGAUCGUUUACCGUGAAAAAAUUAGAGUGUUCAAAGCAGGCAGAUCCAAUUUUCUGCCACCGAAUACAUUAGCAUGGGAUAAUGGAAUAGGACCCUGUCCUCCUAUUUUCAGUUGGUUUUGGCAGCGCGAGGACUAGGGUAAUGAUUAAUAGGGAUAGUUGGGGGCAUUAAUAUUUAAUUGUCAGAGGUGUAAUUCUUGGAUUUAUGAAAGAUUAACUU